rnacentral:ribozyme from 1 species
GCCUUUGUCUUUCUUUUUUUUUCCUUUCCUUUUCUUCUAUCUAAACGAUGUGUAGGUGUUGACAAUCCCGGGCGGAGG